AUGAGGAACUUAAAAGACGAAAGAACUAAGAUUUUUCCCUCAACUACGAGGGGAGGUAAGGAACUGCCAUCUAGCUCUGCACUAGAUUCUCCUUCCGUUUUGAGUAAGCUUGCGACACCUAAACCUGCUACUGCUAUGAAUUCUGAUAUGUCACAUGUUAUUGAUGAUGCCACUUCUGCUAUGCAUGAUACUUAUGCUGAAACUACUUCUGUGCUUGAUACUACUUUGCCAUUAGGUGAAUUCCUAGAUGAACAACUUGCUAGGGUUAGAGAGAAUGAAAUUAUUGAAGAUGAAAUUAUCGAUGAUAGUGAUGAUGAAGGUUCUCCCCCUAAGUAUGAAUUGCCUGUUGUUCCUGACGGUUAUGUUAUGGAUGAAGAAACUGCUAGAGAUUUUCUUGCUUGCAAUGAUAGAUCUGAUCUUAAGAAGUUACUAGCUAAACUUAAACAGAAAACUCUGAAUGCUAGAAUGAAAUAUGACCCUCCUUUUGAUACUUCACCUAUUUUUGUUACUGAUAAGGAUUAUGAAUUCUCUGUUGAUCCUGAGAUAAUUACUUUGGUUGAAUCUGAUCCUUUUUAUGGCAAUGAAUCUGAAACUGUUGUGGCACAUCUUACUAAGUUAAAUGAUAUAGCCACCCUGUUCACUAAUGAUGAGAAGUCUCGCUACUAUUAUAUCCUUAAGAUAUUUCCGUUCUCAUUAAAGGGUGAUGCUAAAACUUGGUUUAAUUCUCUUGAUCCUAGUUGUGUGCGUAGUCUCCAGGAUAUGAUUUAUUACUUCUCUGCUAAAUAUUUCCCUGCUCAUAAGAAACAAGUUGCCUUGCGGGAAAUAUAUAAUUUUGUGUAA
rnacentral:rRNA from 1 species